CGACACCUGCAAACAUCUAUCCUUUUAUUUAUUUUUCACGUGUCUGUGUCUGGUGGGCACAGGUGCGUGUGCAUGUUCACCUGUAUAUAGGUGUCUGUGACCUCAGGAAUCCUUCUUGGUGGCUUAUUCAUUUAGCUAGGGUCACUCAGUGCAGCCCAGAGCUUGCCAACGUGGGCCACAGUAGCCAGUCAGCCUUCUCUGGGGAAGCCCUGCUUCUACCUUCCGAGUAGAAUUACAGAUGGGCUGCCACACCCGCCUGGCAUUUACCUGUGUUCUGGUUGAUUAAAACUCCUGCCUUUAUACUUCACGAUGGCCCCACCUGAAUGACUUCAUUCUUAACCCCGAUGCUACAGAAUUCAGGCUGGGAGGCUGAGGGAGCUGAACUUUCACAGAGUGGUUUGAUUUGCUGAAUUUAAUGCAGGACUGCCUUCUAUGCCAGUGAAAGGCACCACUGUGCUUUAUUUACGGUAGUUAUCUAAAGUGUAUGUUUAGUGAAGUCUAAAAAGUUCAUAUAUUUAAGGAACAAGAACUAGUGUUUAUAGUUUGGAUGAAGACACACAUGGUAAAGUAUGAAAAAGUUUGUUUUUUUUUAAUGGUUUGAAUAUAAGAUGUUCCCAUGCUCUCUCGUGUGCUUCACCUUGGUCCACAGGUAGUAGUGCUGUUCGGGGAAAACAUAGAACUUUGGGGGCAUGGGAUCUUACUAGCUGACGUACAGUGUCACCAUAGGGCCUGGCCUCCCUUCUAGCCCCAGAUACUCUGUGUCUUCAUCCGUCAAGAUAUGUGCAAAUUGUCUCCCACUCAUUCGCACUUCCAGGGACAGAAGCCACUCCAGCUGCCCUGAAUGUGGCCAUGCCUUUUCCACCACGAUGACCCAAGUCCCUUAAAAAAGGAGCCCAAAGAAAUCCUUCCUUCCUGAAGUGUCCUCUGGUCACAAGGACAAGAAAAGCAAGAAACACGGGUGAUAUGGACAUUUCCAGAAUGGAAAAGUUACUGAGCGUAUACACAUACUCAGCAUCUGGGAAACAUCUCUCAAGAGUAAAGUCUUUCGGCACUGCUGGGCCACUGACGAGGCCAAGCAAUCCAGCUUAAAGACUUGCCUCUGUGGAGACAGAAGACCCUUCCCUCCUCUCUGUACUUGCACUGCUGCGGAGAAGCACGCUUUCGUACUGCAACUCCAGCUUUUGAAAAAGAUUAAGGCGUGCACUCUGACUCUUAUAUGGAAGUCCUCACGCACGAGAGCGCCUGGCUUAUCUACGCUAGGUCCACUCCGAGUCACAUCGAGAGAUAAACUCACUUUAGCUACGUUUCCAAUCUGCAAACAUAAAUCCCAGAAGGUGGGAGGCCCAUGAAGAAUGGCCCCAGCUGACAGAGCGUCAGUUCAAGCCAGUGGAGGAGGACUGGCCUGUGGACCCCACUCGUUUGUCCAUCGAGAAAGUGUCUUCAUUAUCCAGGAGUGUUCAUCAGGCCAGGCUGCCUGCUGAGGACACAGCAUGAGGCAGGAACCUGCCUGGGCUCUGAGGAGCCUGACAAUUAAACACAGGACAGGCUGGUGAUAAGAGUGAUCCCAUAACCAUGGUGACAGUCACGAGUGACAGGCACAUGGUGACAAGUGCCAUUUCCAUCUCUGUAGCAUAAAAAUACACUCGGCUUUAGAGGCAAUUGAUCAGGCUCAGGGCUACUGUGGCCUCCAUUCUAUAUUUGAGGAAACUGAGUCACAGAAAGAUUGAGUGACAUCACCAAGCUAACAGAGAGAACAAAUGUGGAAGCCUGAGUUCACUGGGCUGGGAGUGUAUCUGUUGUCAGAAUGCUUGUCUGCCACGUGGGUGGCCCUGGCUUCCAUCCCUAACACCAUAUAAAGCAGGUGGUGGCACAGGCUUGGAAUCCCAGCACUCAGGAGGUGGAGGCAGGCAGGUCACAGUUAUCCUGGGCCACGUAAGGCUAGCCUAGUCUUCCUGAGACCUUGUAUUAAAAAAAAAAAAAAAAUAGAAGCAGCCUGGAUUCAAACCCUCCUGGUGUGUGAGCUCUUGGGUCCCCACAAGCUUUUUGUCACCAAAAGCACUGUUUCUCUGUUGGUGUUCUCCAGCACAAGAGUUAUCCGAGGCCUUUGAACACACCCCCGGAAGCAAACCCAGGGCAAUUGUUUUGUUUAGUGCACCUGCGUUGGGGUCAGGAAACACCGAUCCCAGCUCCCUGGUGUCGCUGACCCUCCAGGUCAGAAGGAUGCACUUGGUAGUUUUGGGGUGAGGGCGCAUAAGGGAUGAAUUUAUUCCAUGGGUACACUUGGGGACUCUGGGGACCUGGGGCUGUCAUGCCUUCACAGGCCGCACUGAUGGUUUCUACUGGGCCACAUAGAGCCUGGCCUGCUCACAUGCCAGGGGGCUAAGGUGAGGGUGCCAGCACUGAGUUCCAGCCUGCCCAGCAGGAUGUGCACAAAAGACAGCAGGCUCCGCUUUGAGCUUGACCUGGUAGUUCAAGUAUUUAGCAGCAUCUGCUCAGGAAGCUGAGGCAGGGGGAUUGGAAGUUCAAGGCCUGUUUGGCCUACAGAUCAAGCUCUAGGCCUGAUGGAGCGAUUUAGUGGGACUCUGUCUCAAGAUAAAACGUGAAAAAUGGCUGGGGAGGCUGUUCGGUGGUAGUCGCUUGCCGAACACGUUGGAGGCACUGGGUUCAAUCCGCAGGACAGCGCUAACAUACUAAAAUACAAAACGACUGGAGAUUAAGUCAGACUGCAGACCGCCUGAGCGGCUGCACCUCUAGCAAGCUCUGAUAGUGGGUGCUGGCAGAACCGGGGACCCCCACAUUGGCUAAAAAAACCGCAAGGAUUCACCCUGCAUAGGUGGAGGUUCUGCACUAAGGCUCAGGACUCGGUGAGGCUGAGAAAUUAGCAGCCCUGGUUCAGAACUAAGCGUGUGAGUCCACUCUUCUUUCAACCCCCCCCCCCAGCUCCUCUCUCCCUGACAGCUGCAGAGAAGCAGAGCCAGCAGAAGGUCUGACUCCCCCUAUGUUCUCAGCAGCAGCAGCAGCAGCAGCAGCAGCAGCAGCAGCAGCAGCAGCAGCAGCAGCAGCAGUCAGGGCCUGUUGAAAAUGAGGAAGGGCAGAGCUUCGGUAGGACUGCCCCAGUCCUUCAUCAGACCAGCCUAUUGUUGCCUGUCAUCGUGGCUUCCUCCCAAGAGCUUUUCCUUGAUGCUGGGUUUACAUCUGCCUGACGUGUAGGUCUGCAGACCCUAAAUGAAAGAGUAUCUGCUUUGGAAAGGGUUGCUCUCUUGGGAAAGGGCGACGGGAGAAAAUGGACUCCCCUGCGCUCGGCCCUCCAGAGAUGGCACCCAGCCCCUGUGAUAAAUGACAGCAUUAACAAGGCUUGGUUGAGAGGGGACCUGCAGAUUUACGACUUCCUGUGUCGGCCAGCAGAUGUCAUUAUGGCUGACAGAACAGGAGCCCUUUCAAGAGCUAGCUGGGGGCGGGGCUAAGGAGAGAAAAAUUUGAAAAAGGCAGAAGCCUAAACUACCGGUUCCAGGGGUGCUGCUGUCAUGGGGGAGGGGGGUGGAGGGGAGAGGACCCGAAUUUGAACAGGAAAUCAGAAAGCUUGCAGAAUCUCUGAACUAGUGUUGCUGAGGAUUAGGCACAGACCCUCAAAUAAAAGACAGCACGAUUGGCUUUCCUCA
rnacentral:lncRNA from 1 species